UUGUUCAGUGACUUCAUUGUGUUGUGUGUGUUCCUUCGUGCUUUCUUCGUAAAUAGACUAUUUUCCUCAAAAACAGUGUUUGCGGGCCGAUGUUGUCCUUAAAGACCAUUGGAGGUCCUGAGGCCAAGACCAAAGUUGGGGUUUCGGGCUUCAAACGUUCCCAAAAUCGGCCAGAAUCUCUCAUAAGGACUGAACUCAUAUCCUUUUGGAGGCUUUGGUGGUGACGGGGCAAGCAGGUCCGGAAUGUCCGGAUGUCGAGGUCCACUCUCGGGCGCUACAUGUCUGCAACCAACCCUCCCUGCAAUUGAAAGCGUCUUCCGAUCCAAUUUCUUCGAGAGCUCCUCGUUCGGGAGAGUCUGCCGUCAGGUUAGCAAGCCAGGGCUGCGGAUGCUAGAUUGCCUGGCUGUAGCACCCUGGUGUACUAUCACUGACGUUGGCUCUCACCCUUGGAGGCCUUGUUGGACGAAGCCAAAGAGGCCAAUUGACAGUGCACUCAGAAUACUGAGGAACCAAGUCAAGACUGCAGACACCAUAAAAGGGAACGUUUUGAAGACCUCCCCCAAUUAGGAAAGCAAACUUCAUCAUCACCAGCAAGCCGAGACAUCAUGGAGCCACCCUGCUCAAGACCAGGCUGUGCAUGACCUUCAAUAAGGCCGAGUGAGGAAGAAAGAGAGGAAAAGGAGAAGAAGAAGAAGAUGGUAAGUCCCGAGGGGCCCGUUAGGGAGCAUGCCGGCGGAUGAGACUCCAACAGAU